rnacentral:rRNA from 1 species
CAGUAGCCACGGUAAUACGAAGGGUGCAAGCGUUAAUCGGAAUUACUGGGCGUAAAGCGUGCGCAGGCGGUUCGCUAAGACAGAUGUGAAAUCCCCGGGCUUAGCCUGGGAACUGCAUUUGUGACUGGCGGGCUAGAGUAUGGCAGAGGGGGGUAGAAUUCCACGUGUAGCAGUGAAAUGCGUAGAGAUGUGGAGGGAUACCGAUGGCGAAGGCAGCCCCCUGGGCCAAUACUGACGCUCAUGCACGAAAGCGUGGGGAGCAAACAGGAUUAGAUACCCCCGUAGUCCCUGUCUCUUAUAA